rnacentral:lncRNA from 1 species
AUGAGUUUUGGGAUCCCGGGAAUUCNNNNNNNNNNCGAAUAUUGGGAUUUUCCCCCAAGCCGCCGUUCCCAAAGGGAAUUUUAUGGGCUGGCAUCUGUGUCCCUGUCCCUGGCAUUGUCACUGAGCCCCGCCAGUGUCCCUGGCAUUGUCACCGGGCUGUGUCACUGCCCCUGGCAUUGUCACCAAGCCCUGACAGUGUCCCUGUCCCUGUCCCUGGCAUUGUCACCAAGCCCUGACAGUGUCCCUGUCCCUGUCCCUGGCAUUGUCACCAAGCUGUACCACUGUCCCUGUCCCUGUCCCUGUCCCUGGCAUUGUCACCGAGCUGUGUCACUGCCCCUGGCAUUGUCACCGAGCUGUGUCCCUGUCCCUGGCAUUGUCACCAAGCCCUGCCAGUGUCCCUGGCAUUGUCACCGAGCCCUGCCAGUGUCCCUGUCCCUGCCCCUGGCAUUGUCACCGAGCCCUGCCAGUGUCCCUGGCAUUGUCACCGAGCUGUGUCACUGCCCCUGGCAUUGUCACCAAGCCCUGCCAGUGUCACUGUCCCUGUUCCUGGCAUUGUCACCAAGCCCUGACAGUGUCCCUGUCCCUGCCCCUGGCAUUGUCACCGAGCUGUGCCAGUGUCACUGUCCCUGUUCCUGUCCCUGGCAUUGUCACCGGGCUGUGUCACUGUCCCUGGCAUUGUCACCAAGCCCUGACAGUGUCCCUGUCCCUGGCAUUGUCACCGAGCUGUGUCACUGCCCCUGGCCCUGUCCCUGUCGCUGUCACCAAGUGCUGGCACUGGCACUGUCCCAGUUCCUGUUCCUGUUCCUGUUCCUGGCCCCAUGCCUGUCACUGUCACCGAGCCGUGUCUCUGUUCCGGUUCCUGUUCCUGUUCCUCUUCUUGUCCCCAUCCCCUUCCCUGUCCCCAUCCCUGUCCCUGUCCCUGUCCCUGUCCCCAUCCCUGUCCCCCUCCCUGUCCCCUCCCUGUCCCUGUCCCUGUCCCGUCCCUGUCCCUGUCCCAUCCCUGUCCCAUCCCUGUCCCUGUCCCCAUCCCUGUCCCUGUCCCCAUCCCUGUCCCUGUCCCUGUCCCUGUCCCUGUCCCAUCCCUGUCCCCCUCCCUGUCCCCUCCCUGUCCCGUCCCUGUCCCUGUCCCUGUCCCUGUCCCUGUCCCGUCCCCGUCCCUGUCCCCAUCUCCGUUACUCGGGGACAACGCAGGGACGGAGCCCUGGGAGAGCCCCUGGCUCCGGCCUGGAGCGGGACGUGGAAGUGGGAAUGGGAUUUGGAUUUGGGAUUUGGGAUUUGGGAUUUGGGAUUUGGGAUUGGGAUCUGGGAUCUGGGAUUGGGGAUUUGGGAUUGGGGAUUUGGGGUUUGGGAUUUGGGAUUUGGCAUUGGAAGGAGUUUGGGGGCUGA